rnacentral:piRNA from 1 species
UUAUAAAGUGUUAGGACAGCUCAGAGGAGG